CGACAAGUGUCAAACAUCACUUCUUUUUUUUUUCCCCCCAGGAGACCAGAACUCCCGAGCAUGCGAUGCGCCAUGCUAUUCCCCCUCUAUUUUCAUACACCAUGUCUUUCUUCUUCUCUUCAACCUUUCCUCCCCUCCGUUUGUCAGAAGCUAUAACGGAAGAUGAGUAAACCCUAACCCCAAUCUCGGACGAAUGGCGAGCAGCAAUCUACCUCGAAGAGUUAUCAAGAUCUUGGGCGGAAGAGCGUCGGCCUCGCGAUACGAGGGGAUCUCACCUUCUCUCCUUUCCCUGCGCUCCUCUGCUCUCUGAUUUCUAAUUCUUGACCCCGUGAACUCACAGGAAACGCAGCAGCUGCUCAGCGAACCAGAUAUGUACCUGUACUCCUCUUCUUCUAAUCUUGCUUUCCUUUUUUUCUUGAUUUCUUGCUUAUCUUCUUGGUCAAUUGAGAUGGGUGUAAAAUAUCUUUAGGUUUUCUGGGAAAUAUUAUGGCUGAAUUUCUUUUCGGGGUACUAGGGUUUUCCUGAUCGAUUUUAGAUUAAAGUUAGGUUUUGGAUGAUGGGUUGCCAUCUUUUCUUUCAGCUCCUGGGAUCGGUACCCCUCCGUCUGAAGACAACCUGCGCUACUUCAAUGUUAUGAUCCUUGGUCGGACACAGUCUCACUUUGAAGGUGCUUAUUUUGAAGUUGAAGAAUUGCAUCGUGAUAAGGAGCAACUCGAUAUAUUUCCAACAAGAUUGAGGAGCCAUAAUAUAUACUAGUUGUAGUAGUGGAAGUCCAAUGGAGCAACCAUGAAGGCCUGAAGAACAAGAUUCUUGUUCACGUGACCAUGUAGAGCACCUUCUUAGCAAGUUUAUCUAUUUAUACUUGAGCAAACUUUUUCCAAGAAACACAUUAUUGAUGUAAACUGGAAACAGAUGACCAUGAAAAGAGAGACAAGGUGAUGAAGGAAUAAAAUUGGUGAUUUUCUGGGUUCAAACUGU